AACGAAUAAGUUCCGGAUCAUAAGUGAUUGCCGAAAAGGAGAAACACCCAUCAUGUCAUAUAAAAAUGUCGGUUUUUUAUGAUAUUGCAUUGCUAUUGACUAAAUUUUGAAGUUGUGUUAUUAAUGUACUUCAUUGUAUUGAAUUAGUAGGAACAGUUUGGGCUGUGCUCUCUUGACGACUGGUAAAAUAUCGUGUUGGAAUCUUAGCCUAAUUUUUUGAAGCCGGGUGGCAGCUUCUCUGGUGGUCAGCUUAGGCACGGUGGUACGGUAGAUCAUUUUCGACUGCACGCUUAGUCCACAAAAACCACAACAAUCAUCAGCUCUUGAGCCUCUGAGUCUUAUCAUUCUUUAUAUUAACUCAGUUGCUUCUCUAGUCUACAUAGGUAUUUGUGUGUUUGAACUGAAUAUAUAAACCUGCAUUGUGGAGUAAAUUGAAAGGGAUACGAUGGCAACUGCUGCAAGUCAAUCAGCUGCAAAAAUCAAGAGCAAAUCAUUGUCUUCUGAGAGUGCAGGUAUUUCUAGAGAUGGCACUCAACGCGAGAAGAAGAUUGGCCACAGACGGGUGGAUGAGAUGGGAGAAGUCACAUACAAAAAGACUACAUCCUCUGCUUUAAUGGCAGCUAUUCAGCUUGGAUUAGGCCAUUCCGUUGGGGGUCUGUCAGCGAAGCCAGAACGUGACGUGCUUCUCCAGGACUUUACUGUAGUGGAGAGUGUCUUCUUCCCACGUGAGGGCAGUAACAUGACUGCUGCUCAUCGGUAUAAUGAUUUCCGUUUUAAAGCAUAUGCACCAAUCGCAUUUAGACAUUUCAGGGAACUCUUUGGCAUUCAACCAGAUGAUUUUCUUCUUUCAAUGUGCAACCAAGCUCUUCGAGAAUUGAGCAAUCCCGGAGCCAGUGGUAGUUUAUUCUACCUUUCAAAUGAUGAUGAGUUCAUUAUAAAGACAAUACAACAUAAAGAGGUCGAGUUCUUACAGAAAUUACUCCCUGGUUAUUAUAUGAACAUAUAUCAAAACCCUCGGACACUGUUGCCCAAAUAUUAUGGACUCUAUUGCUACCAAUGUGGUGGAAAAAAUAUCCGCUUAGUAGUUAUGAACAAUUUAUUACCGUCUCAAUUAAGAAUGCAUCAGACUUAUGACCUAAAGGGGUCAACGUACAAGAGGAAAGCUUCCAAACAGGAGAGGGCCAAAAAGAGACCCACAUUAAAAGACUUGGAUUUUGUGAUUGAUCAUCCUGAUGGCUUAUUACUGGACAAUGCUACAUACAAUGCUUUGCAUAAAACAAUGGUUCGGGAUUGUAGGGUUUUGGAGAGUUUCAAAAUUAUGGAUUACAGUUUGUUGUUAGCUAUACACAAUGUUGAUCAAGCAGAUAAAGAGAAGGUAGAGGCAUCUGAAACAAGUACUACAUCAGCCAGCAAAAGGAGCCCUCAGUCUGCCAGGCGAAACUCAGAAUUAACAGCAGUAAAUGAUCAGGCCCAGGAACCCAAAACCACAUCAGGGCUACAGAGAACACGGUCUGUUAACAGUAAGCCAAGGGUUGCGGCUUUCUCAACGGCACGGGAAGCUAUCCAAGCAGAGGGAACCGUUGGCCACCAAACUGAGGAAGAAGAUUCCACGGGUGGAAUUCCAGCAAAGAAUGCGAAGGGCGACAGAUUGUUAAUUUUCUUAGGAAUCAUUGAUAUUCUUCAGUGCUACAAAUUAAAAAAGAAACUAGAACACACAUGGAAAGCAAUGGUACAUGACGGAGAUACUGUUUCAGUACAUCGUCCAAGUUUUUACGCAAAACGAUUUCAAGACUUCAUGUUUGAGAGAGUGUUCAAGAAGAUGCCUGCAUUAAAACAUUCACCAUCCAAGAGGAAAGGACAGACCAGCAUACAUGGUUCAGCGUCAGUAAACCGACCUCGAUCAAAAACAGCGCCCUCAGAAAUUACAGACCCCCAGACUACCAAUCAAGAAAGACCAUUGUCAUACAAGUCAGCAGUCUCGCUUAGCGAUCCAGCAAGUCCACCAGCAACUGGAGCACGACCUAAAACUCAGCCUGACCUAGUACCAAAUCGACCUCCCACGUUUGAAGAUGUAUUAGACGAUGAUAACAAUGUCGGUGAAAAGACGGAAGAGAAAAAAGAGGUGGCAGUAGAUACAGAGGAUAUACGGCUGCAAGAGAUUGACAGCGAACAAAUCAGUAGUGAGGCUAGUGGCGACAAGUCUGGUAAACAAAUUUCUCAAGAAGAUGAUCAGACGAUUACAAGAAGUUCCAACACUGUAGCGGCAACAACUUCGAAUCAAGCAGGGUCUUCAAACAGUGACUUGUCAAGUUGCCUAGAACUUCAGUCGGAAUUGGAUGCAUUCAAUAGUUCGCCUAUUCCAGUUAACAAUGAUAAUUACGAUAGUAAACUAUGAGACAUAGGAGUAUUAUAUAUUCAUACAAAAUUUAUGCAAUUCUUGUUUUGUAUUUUCAUCACAAUUUAAUUUGUGUGCACUAAUAUUCUUUAAAAAUUUGUGUUCAAUAUGGGAUCCGUUAAAGAAUCACAGCUAAUACAACAUUAUUAAUUUUACUUUAGUAAGCAUUUACAUUUGUACAAACAUAUUUUCUUCUAAUUUAGAAUUUAUAGUUUAGUCAUUAUUUUUUGUUAUUAUAGAACAUAAUUUUAUAAUAAUAUGUUGAAUUAUAAAAAAAAAAAAAAAAGAAACUAUAGCGGAAUUAAGGUAUUGUCUUGAACCUCCAAACCCUUUUAUCACACCAGUAACUAUCCCACAUUAAGCCUUUAAUACCAUCAAAUUUGACCACAAUAUAUAUUGUCACAAAUCGGUAUAAACACCUUGAUAAGAAAAAAUACCAUCAAUUAUACAAUACUUUUUGAUCAUUAAAUGGUACAUUACAUACAUUAAAGAGUGUUUAUUAAAGUAUGCCAGUUAAAAUUGUUAAUGCAAAAUCAGCCAGUAUACAGUAUUCAGAAAUUGCUUCUGCUCAAUUAAAGUAUUUUGUACAUUAACAAGAAAUGAUGGUCACAUGUUCAUUAAUAAUAACUGUUACUCCCACCUGGAUAUGGAAAUUACUAUUAAAUUUGGACUAUGAAACCAACAUAUUGACCAUCAGAAGUUAUGGGAUUCACUUUCUAAAAAAUAAUUUUAGUUUAUCACUUAAUAAUUAUACAAAGUAAUUAUCACAAAAUAAAAAUCUUUUUGAAUAAUAGUAUGGGAUGUCAUGUGUAUUAGUUUUUUGAAAAUGUUUUGAUGUGACAAAAUGUAUGUAAAGUAUUUAAUUUCAGGAAUAUGGAAUAAAUAUUAGGGACAAUGUCUGACUGAUUGAUUGACUGGCUGAAAUUCAGUUUUAUCAGUAUAUUGCUUUAUGUUACAUAGGGUAUAGAGUAGUUUCAUGCUAUGUAAAAAUGUAUUUAGUUUCCUAUUCGCUGUUUAAUAAAAGAAAAUAUUAUUUAUUAUUGGGUCAGCUUAUAUUUACCAUAUUUGUCAUUUAUCAUGAAUUGAAUCACUAAAAUAUGUUAUAUAUUAUUUUUUUUAUGUUUUUGUUACUUUCUGCAUGAAGAUUGUGUUUGCCUUUAGAUAUUUGUUUAAAUGUUGUCGAUGUAUUUUUGACUGUACAUCAUAGCAUGGGCCACAUAGUAUGUGAUUACCUGUAAGAUGAUCAUGAACAUGAAGCACCUGUAACACACACCAUGUGAAAUGCAUGAUACUCUGGUAUAACACCACAUGGUACACCUAUAACCAGGGGCGGAUUUUGGAGGGGCGGCCCGUCCCCUGCACCCCCUUUUGGGAGGUAAAAAGAAGAAAGUAAAAGAAAAAAAUGAUAGCCCACAAUGCCUCAAAUGUUAUUGUCGGGCGUCUAGAACACAAAAAUUUCGCGGGGGCAUGCCCCCGGACCCCCUAGGUCAUUGUUGUCUCGAUCGGCCCAAAUUUUGGCCCCACUUUCGGCCCCCUUUUGGACAUCUCUUGAUCCGCCCCUGAUAACACCAUGUUAAACACAUGGUACACCCAUAACACACACCUAAAACAGAUCAAGUGGCCCACAAUACCCUGUAACCAUACUGGUAUGUGACAAAUGACUCGUCUUUUUAAAAGAGACCAUGUGCUAAACUUGAUCUAGACCUGUUAUACAAGUGUCACUACUCAUCUAUACACUGUAUAACACUCCUGCAAAACAGCUGCAAUAAACCUGGGGACACCUACUGUACAAUUCAUCUGUUUGGUAUAUCUGCAACAAUACACUUUCAAACAUGUUAUAGAUAAACCUAAAACAAAUCUUGUUGGCUAAAGCACAUUGACCAUUGGAAAUCAGGCAGUUUGUCAGCUUAGUUUAAGUGUUCAUGACUAACCAAUAGUUAAACUAGGCUAAACUUUGUGGAAGGUGCUGCAUUUAGUUAAUUAAAGCUUAAAACUUCCCCCUUUCAAGAUCAUACAAGUAUAAUUUCCAACCCUGGAUUUAAACAUUUAAUUUCAGAGGCUUGGCCAAUACAACACAAUUUUUUGUCCUAACAGUGAUUAUUACCAUAAUAAACAUAACCAUAUAUAAUGAAUGAGUUGAAUGAAUUAUUGUUAUUAAAGUAUAGUGGUAUGUUCUUUUUAAUUAUAAAUUUGCAAUAUAAUAUUUUCUUAAUAAAAUAUGAUUUACCUCGAAAUUCAAUUUAUGUAUUUUGAUGUGUUCAUUUAUUCUUAAAAUCCCAAUAGUUCCCUUGCAUAUGUACACAUGUAAAUGCAAGAUGUGUAUUGUAAGCAUUUAUGAUCAAAAUUCUGUGGUCGGGCCAACCAACUAAGAGCUUUUUGGGGUCAGUCGAUGAAAUCAUCAUCAUCUUGAUGGGUUUUAUACAAAGGGAGGAGUGGAUUGGUACAGUAUAUCAAAGAUCAUAUAUCCUCCUGGUUUUGAGCCUGUAACAUAUAUAAUGCAUGCCUUAUGCAUUAGUAAGAAUCAUUAACUUAUGUUGUUCUGUUAUAUGCAUUCCAUCUGUUAUUGUCAGUAAUGUACUAAAGUAUUUAUACCAUCUAAUUAAGUUAUUACUUUUUGUUAAUACUAACAUGAAACUUUCCUUAAAGUGAUAAACUACACACCUCAUCUCAUGUGAGAAUCAACUUCUUUCAUAUCACCUUCUUAUGUGUUGAAUGCUGUAUUGAAUCUCUGUUGUGGCACAACAGCAUACAGUAAUUGCAGAUCUCAAAGAAUCUAUAGUCUGGUGACUUUGCAGGUGUUAUGCAAAUAUUAGAUGAGCAGGUGGUCUGAGAAUAUUAGAUGAAUAAUGAUUUACAGUAAAUCAACUAUUGGUAGAUGGUUCACUAUAUAGUGAAUGUUAGAUAUGUGGUCCUAGAUUUUCAUUGUACCAAUGAAAAAUACAAUUAGCUGUUCUACACGUUCAUUAAAUGAAAAUCUUCACUUAUGAAACACAAUUGUUCAUUAAGGAAGAUGUUUAUUAAAUGCAUGUGUUAAUAAUUAGUUAAUGUGUUAAUUAAUAUCAUGUGUCAUUUUAACACAGAUAUUAAUUAAGCAUACGUUAAAUGCAGGUGUUCUCGGACAACAGUGUACGAUGCUGUCUGAGUUGGCCUUUACAGAGGUGUUCAGAGUGUAAACAUUUUGUAACCCGGCCGUGGACAUUCUGAAAGUUAGCAAUGUGAAAUGUCUGUAACAAAUUUACGAAAAUUUCUAGGUUACAAAAUGUCUGCCACCCAUGUUAAUUAACAUACGUUUCAUUAUAAUAUGCAGGUGUUUACUGAAUACAGGUGAUCAUUGAUCAGGUGACUUGUAGAGCUUUCAGAGAUCAUUAUACAUAGUAGCAUAAACAUUUCUAUGGUCAUCAAUGGAUUAUAUGUCAAUUUAGUUAGUUGGUACAGGUGGAUUAAAUUUGCAUACAGUCAAUAAUUAUAAUUAUUCAUGAUUAAUUACUGCAUCUGCUAUAUGUUAUUGGUUUUAGUCAUUACAAAACAUAGACUAUGUUGUGUAAAAUAGCACUUUGUUUUUGAUAAAAAAGGAAAAUCUUGAGCUGGAUUAUAACCUAUAAAUGGGCAUUUUUGUUGUCAUUUUUGUUGCAUUUUUAGGUGCAAUAUUAAGAACAGGUGAACUGUGAGAGAAUAUUUGGCUUUUUAAUUUUCAGUGCAGAAUAAUUUAAUUGCAUAUCUAACACACAAAUAUCAAGUACAUGAGUUAUGGUUAUAAUUUACUUUUACCAGACUGUUUUGUUACACUCAAAAUGAAUUGUGGUAGAAGUAUCAAGUAGAUGUAAUUAAAUAGUCAAUUCCAUUAUUGAUAACAGAUUUGCAUACGAUUAAUUGCUUUAUUUAUACCACUCUACAUGAUUACCAGACAUGAACAGGGGAGAAUGUUUACUUUUUGUAUAGAUUUGUAAUAAAAAUGAUAAAACUCACAAAAUACUAAUUCAGAAUAUUUGGUUGAGUAUAUUUAGGGGUCUUGGCAUACAUCUACUACAUACAUUUAAGAUUAAACUGGUAUUAUGAUGUAACUAAAAGUAGCUUUUAAACCUCAAGACGAAUGAAAUAUAGAAAGGCCCUUUCAGUCAAAAUAUUUAAAUAAAAUUGAUGAGAAAAAUAAUAAUACAUAUGGAAGGUUCUCUUAAUAGAAUUAUCGAGUAAACAUACACAGAUACAAAUUAAUAAUAGAUAAUUGACUUUUGUAUAUUAUUUAGUAAAAGUACUGAAUAACAUAGUACAGUAAUUGCAUUUAUGAAUAAAGGAGAAAUUUGUAGUGUACCUAUAAAGGGAAAAUUAUAUGUUGUUAACUAAACACAGUGUUCAGAUUUAACCAGUAAAAAAAAUUGUUGAAAUUCUGGGGAAAAUGAUCAAGUGUUUUUAUAUGAACAUUUUGAAAGUAUUUUUAAUUUCGUAUCUUGCCAGUCAAAAAGUGUUUUUUUAGACCAAGGUAACCAAUUCAAUUUCACUUUUUACCAUACAAAAGUGUUGAUGUUUGCCACCAGACCUUUAAAAAAAAAAAAUGAAGUACUAAAUCUGAGUCAAGUGUACUAAAAGAAAAUAUAUCCUGGUUUGUUUUUGUUUUUUUUUAAUUCAAUGAUUUAGAUUUGCGUAGAUUGACUGUCUUGAAAUGAAAUAUUUAACCAUCACCUUCAAUGUCUUAUAUCAUUCUUGUGACUCCAUCAUAAUGCAUUUGUACAGUAACUUUCUGUCGUUCAGUUAGCACCUCUAGACAUUAGUGGUUCAAAUUGCUGAUGGAGGGCCUGUUGAUGUUUGCUCAUACAUUUCAUUUCAUACGGUGCAUUAUUUUAUCCAACAGGCCAGUCAGAAUGUCUUUUAUACUACAUAUCAACUAUAGAAACAGAACUAUAUUACCAUCAAUUUUUAAUUAAUCAAUUUAUUUAUAAAUCUUUUGCUUUAAUAUUCCAUAUCUCUGCCAUGUUAGUUUCUAAAUGUAUAUUUUAUUUUGUCUCCCUGUACAAUCCAUUCUGUUUUUGUUUUUCAAACAUCAGUAUAAUCGGUAUGCAUAUUCUGUUAGAGGGCAGCAUAUUAUAUGCUAUUACUAUAUUGAUUUUUGUGUAUGUUAACAACUUGUAAAACUGAUUGGUAAAUGUGUACUUAGACUUAUAAUAUUAUGUAUAUAUGUUGUAUGUAUUUAUCAUUUUCAUCAAUUAUCAGUAUGGUAUUAUUAUUAUCGUUUUUACCGUAUUUAUCUCAUGGAUCAAAUAACUCCAUUUGUCAUUAUUUUUUUAGUGGAAUAUGUUUACUGGAAAUUUUCACUUAAUUUGUUCUGCUGUACUUGCAAGAAUAAAUAUUUAGAAAUGUAUUGUUGUAUCCCAGGGUUGUCCACCAAGCAUCUGUUCCAAGGCAAAACAUUGUAACUUAAAAACAUAAAAGCCGUUAAGUUGUUCUUGCCAUGGGGCAGGAAAUGGCUUGGUACGUGUUACUUAGGUAGUUUUGGUUUUGAAUCGCCUUAAAAGUUAUUCGAAUUGGGCACUGUCAACUUAGACAAGUUUAACUGUAUUGUCAUUUCUAUAUUUCUAUUAUAAUUAUUAUAUAUUAUUUAUUAUAUUUAUUAUGUACUGUUAUCAUAAUUUUUAUUAUUAUUGUUAUUAUUCUAAUUAUUGAAUUCAAAUUAUAUAAAUGGAUACUGUUGACCUGCAAACCCUGACCUACAAUGGCUAUUCAUAAUGCUCGAUAAAAUUCAGCAAAAAUUGAGGUCUAUAUAUUCAAAGUAUGUGUGCAAUCUAAAUGAAAAAAGAAGAGAUGACAAGUGCUGCAGAAAAUUAGAAUUUUGUAUGUUUGAAAUUUAAAGGUAAUUAAAAAUUAAAAGGCCGGCAUGAUCACCUUGAUGUCACGUCUUGUUACCGGUAGACUUGCUCGUCGAUCUUCUUCAAUGGGGUCAUUUCGUUAGGUGUUGAUUCGCACCGAUGGAUUUGUAGCAUGUAUGCAAUUGCUUCCUAAGAAUUUAAUGUUUAUAAUUAUAGUUGCCAUUAUCUUUUGUUAUGUCUGUAUUGAUAAUCACUCAUGAAUAUUCAUAUAUGCAUGUGAAUACACAAAUGAGGUGUUCACUGAUGCAUGAGUUGUAUUAAAGAAGUAUAUAAGGAUAAGUAGUUACUGUAAGAAACUAUUAUUUACAAAAUAGUUAAAGUUUAAAAAGUAAGUACAAUAUUGAAUUCCACAAUGUAGCUCAGAAAACUUGGACAAUACUGACUAUAUACUAAGUUCUAUCUAUUGUAUUUUUUUCCACCAAAUAAUUAUGUAUAAAAUACAGCAAUAAACCUUAUGUUACUAUAAAAUAGGAAA
rnacentral:misc_RNA from 1 species